CCGCCCGCGCCCGGGAGCCGGCGGCCAGGGGACCCGCUGCCAAGGAGAGGGCGGCGGCGGGGCCGGGAACGCGCGGCCCGGCCUGGCUGAGGAACCAGCAGGCCCCCACAGGCCCUCGUACAGUGCCUCCAGGGACUUAAACCUGCCGCAGCCAUGUGAUUACCCUGAUCUGUCUGCUGGGAGAUGAGCAAAGCUCGGAGAGGGACCAGAUCUCAGCAGAGACCAAACCAGCAGCAGUUCCUGAACACCCACCCCCCAGUGCUUCCAGAAGUGCACCAUGGACCAACCUGUGAGCAUUUGCUCUUCCUCAGAAAUGGAAAAGUUGAUCCUCAUAUUCAUAUAGAAUUGCAAGGAUCCCUCCCAGUACCUUAGUGUGUUCAUGAAACUGGAAACUCUCUGAACUCUGUAAUUUAGGGAUUUUUAUGGAAGCACCAUCAUGUAGGC